CGCAUGGUAGGAGAGCGUUCCGUAAGCCUGCGAAGGUGCCUUGUAAAGGGUGCUGGAGGUAUCGGAAGUGCGAAUGCUGACAUGAGUAGCGAUAAAGGGGGUGAAAGGCCCCCUCGCCGUAAGCCCAAGGUUUCCUACGCAACGUUCAUCGGCGUAGGGUGAGUCGGCCCCUAAGGCGAGGCAGAAAUGCGUAGCUGAUGGGAAGCAGGUCAAUAUUCCUGCACCAUUGUUAGAUGCGAUGGGGGGACGGAUCGCGGAAGGUUGUCCGGGUGUUGGAAGUCCCGGUCGCUGCAUUGGAGAAGGCGCUUAGGCAAAUCCGGGCGCGUAAUUCAAGGGUGUGGCGCGAGCUCCUUAGGGAGCGAAGCAAUUGGAAGUGGUUCCAAGAAAAGCCUCUAAGCUUCAGUCUAACGAUGACCGUACCGCAAACCGACACAGGUGGGCGAGAUGAGUAUUCUAAGGCGCUUGAGAGAACUCGGGAGAAGGAACUCGGCAAAUUGGUACCGUAACUUCGGGAUAAGGUACGCCCUUGUAGCUUGACCAGCCUGCGCUGGAAGGGUGAAGGGGUUGCAAUAAACUGGUGGCUGCGACUGUUUAAUAAAAACACAGCACUCUGCAAACACGAAAGUGGACGUAUAGGGUGUGACGCCUGCCCGGUGCCGGAAGAUUAAAUGAUGGGGUGCAAGCUCUUGAUUGAAGUCCCGGUAAACGGCGGCCGUAACUAUAACGGUCCUAAGGUAGCGAAAUUCCUUGUCGGGUAAGUUCCGACCUGCACGAAUGGCGUAACGAUGGCCACACUGUCUCCUCCCGAGACUCAGCGAAGUUGAAGUGUUUGUGAUGAUGCAAUCUACCCGCGGCUAGACGGAAAGACCCCAUGAACCUUUACUGUAGCUUUGCAUUGGACUUUGAACCGAUCUGUGUAGGAUAGGUGGGAGGCUAUGAAACCGGAACGCUAGUUUCGGUGGAGCCGUCCUUGAAAUACCACCCUGGUUUGUUUGAGGUUCUAACCUUGGCCCGUGAUCCGGGUCGGGGACAGUGCAUGGUAGGCAGUUUGACUGGGGCGGUCUCCUCCCAAAGCGUAACGGAGGAGUACGAAGGUACGCUAGGUACGGUCGGAAAUCGUGCUGAUAGUGCAAUGGCAUAAGCGUGCUUAACUGCGAGACCGACAAGUCGAGCAGGUGCGAAAGCAGGUCAUAGUGAUCCGGUGGUUCUGUAUGGAAGGGCCAUCGCUCAACGGAUAAAAGGUACUCUGGGGAUAACAGGCUGAUACCGCCCAAGAGUUCAUAUCGACGGCGGUGUUUGGCACCUCGAUGUCGGCUCAUCUCAUCCUGGGGCUGUAGCCGGUCCCAAGGGUAUGGCUGUUCGCCAUUUAAAGAGGUACGUGAGCUGGGUUUAAAACGUCGUGAGACAGUUUGGUCCCUAUCUGCCGUGGGCGUUGGAUAUUUGAAGGGGGCUGCUCCUAGUACGAGAGGACCGGAGUGGACGAACCUCUGGUGUACCGGUUGUCACGCCAGUGGCAUCGCCGGGUAGCUAUGUUCGGAAGAGAUAACCGCUGAAAGCAUCUAAGCGGGAAACUCGCCUUAAGAUGAGAUAUCCCUGGGGACUAGAUCCCCUUGAAGGGUCGUUCGAGACCAGGACGUUGAUAGGUCAGGUGUGUAAGCGCAGUAAUGCGUUCAGCUAACUGAUACUAAUUGCCCGUAAGGCUUGAUCCUAUAACA
rnacentral:rRNA from 1 species